GAUCCUGGCUCAGAUUGAACGUUGGCGGCAGGCCUAAUACAUGCAAGUCGAGCGGAAACGAUGGGAGCUUGCUCCCAGGCGUCGAGCGGCGGACGGGGGAGUAACGCGUAGGAAUCUACCCAGUAGCGGGGGAUAGCCAGUGGAAACGCUGAUUAAUACCGCAUACGCCCCAAGGGGGAAAGGGGGGAUCUUUUCGUAGACCCUCACUAUUGGAGGAGCCUGCGUUGGAUUAGCUAGUUGGUGAGGUAAAGGCUCACCAAGGCAACGAUCUAUAGCUGGUCUGAGAGGACGAUCAGCCACACUGGGACUGAGACACGGCCCAGACUCCUACGGGAGGCAGCAGUAGGGAAUAUUGUGCAAUGGGCGAAAGCCUGACACAGCCAUGCCGCGUGUGUGAAGAAGGCUCUAGGGUUGUAAAGCACUUUCAGUAGGGAGGAAUAAGCAGUUGAUUAAUACUCAACAGCUGUGACGUUACCAACAGAAGAAGUACCGGCUAACUCCGUGCCAGCAGCCGCGGUAAUACGGAGGGUCCGAGCGUUAAUCGGAAUUACUGGGCGUAAAGCGUACGCAGGCGGUUGGUUAAGCGAGAUGUGAAAUCCCCGGGCUCAACCUGGGAACUGCAUUUCGAACUGGCCAACUAGAGUAUGAGAGAGGGUGGGAGAAUUUCAGGUGUAGCGGUGAAAUGCGUAGAUAUCUGAAGGAAUACCGAUGGCGAAGGCAGCCACCUGGUUCAAUACUGACGCUCAUGUACGAAAGCGUGGGGAGCAAACAGGAUUAGAUACCCUGGUAGUCCACGCCGUAAACGAUGUCUACUAGCAGCUCGGGUCAUUACGACUGGUUUUGCGCAGCUAACGCGUUAAGUAGACCGCCUGGGGGGUACGGCCGCAAGGUUAAAACUCAAAUGAAUUGACGGGGGCCUGCACAAGCGGUGGAGCAUGUGGUUUAAUUCGAUGCAACGCGAAGAACCUUACCAGGCCUUGACAUCCUGAGAACUUUCUAGAGAUAGAUUGGUGCCUUCGGGAACUCAGUGACAGGUGUUGCAUGGCUGUCGUCAGCUCGUGUCGUGAGAUGUUGGGUUAAGUCCCGCAACGAGCGCAACCCUUACCUGUAGUUGCCAGCGGAUCAUGCCGGGGACUCUACAGGGACUGCCGGUGAUAAACCGGAGGAAGGUGAGGAUGACGUCAAGUCAUCAUGGCCCUUACGCUCAGGGCGACACACGUGCUUCAAUGGUCGGUACAGUGGGCUGCAAUCCCGCGAGGGUGAGCCAAUCCCAAAAAGCCGGCCUAAGUUCGGAUCGGAGUCUGCAACUCGACUCCGUGAAGCCGGAAUCGCUAGUAAUCGCGGAUCAGCCAUGCCGCGGUGAAUACGUUCCCGGGCUUUGUACACACCGCCCGUCACGCCAUGGAAGCCGGGGGGACCCGAAGUCAGUGGCCUAACCUUCGGGAGGGAGCUGCCUAAGGUCAAUCCGGUGACUGGGGCGAAGUCGUAACAAGGUAGCCGU
rnacentral:rRNA from 1 species